UACGGAGGGUGCGAGCGUUGUCCGGAAUCACUGGGCGUAAAGGGCGCGUAGGCGGCCUGAUAAGUAGGGGGUGAAAUCCUGCGGCUUAACCGCAGGGCUGCCUUCUAAACUGUCAGGCUCGAGCACAGUAGAGGCAGGUGGAAUUCCCGGUGUAGCGGUGAAAUGCGUAGAUAUCUGGAGGAACACCGGUGGCGAAGGCGGCAUCCUGGACCGAGAUUGACGCUGAGGCGCGAAAGCCAGGGGAGCAGACGGG
rnacentral:rRNA from 1 species